rnacentral:lncRNA from 1 species
AAAGUAUCCCUCCUUGUAGGAUCCACAGCUGUAUUCAUUCUGAUAAAAAUCAUAAAGCCGGGCAGGCGUGCUCUGGCUGGGUCAAUAUCCAGUUUGAAUAGCUAUUACGCUACGUGCGACAAUGGAUGUUAAUAUCAUCAAGGUGUACCGCUUCGCUUCUGUCAUUGUGUUCAUCCCAAGAGAAGAGCUGAUGGUGACCACAGCCCAGGAGAUAAGAGACACAGAGGGAGGAAAGAAGAAAGAGAGAGGGGGCAAAGAAACAGCACGAGGUCAGAUGUGGAAAUCCUUGGAACAGGGGUUGUAA